AAAAGCUUUAAAAAAAAGAAAGGAAAAAAAGGAGUAAGCAAAAAGAACGGACGAAGGAAAACAACUUUCGGGUGGUUUGAUUCCUCCUUUGAUUUCUUUUUCGGUUCUCUUCUGUCUGUCCUCUCUCCUUCCCUCUUUUCUCUCUCCUCUCUCUCCCUUUGCUCUCCUCUCUCCUCUCUCAAUCUUGUUCUUUCUGUGUCUCUCCUCAAACCAAAGUGUUGCAGUGAAGGACGCGAGCCAUUGAAAUCAGGGUGGGGCCUGGCAGCGCAGGGUGGCCCCCGCCCCUCACUGGGCAGGAGCAGAGGGAGGGGAGAGCCCUGAGACUGCAGGGCCGCGGCCUGGGCAGCUUCCACUUUCUCCUGGACACUCUUGAGGAGAGGCAGAUGGAGCCCCAGGCCUCAGCGUUCUUUUUUUCUUGUCUCCCUUCUCCCACCUGGGAAAUGAAACUGUUGGGCUGGGCCAUGGAGGCAGCAGAGACUCGGCCAUUGCAGGGGCCUCCGGGUGCCUUGUCCGGGCAGUGGUGGAGUGGUCGCCCCCCAACCCCUGGCACGAUGGGGCCUGGCACCUCGUCGACCCAUCCUCGCCGGAAUGUAAGCAUCUCUGCCGAAUGACUCCCUGCCCUUACCCUACCUCUGAGUUUGUCCAUGUUUAUUUCCUGAAGAGAGAAGGGACUGGCAAGAGGGCUUGGGCCCCAGCCCAAGGGUGGAGAGGGGGCCAAGGGCUCCUGACCAAAUAGGAAGGACAUGUGAGCAGAGCAAAAUGAAAGGAAUUACAACCAAAACCCCCUCCGAGAAGACAGGCAGCAUGGAAGGCAUGGUGGAGAUGACUCAAA